GUGGAUGAGGCAUGCAAGUCGAACGAAACUGAUGGGCAACCAGCAGUUUAGUGGCGAAAGGGUUAGUAAUACAUGAAUAACUUACCGUAUACCUGGGGAUAACGGCUGGAAACGGCCGCUAAUACCGAAUGAGGUCUUUGAGGGGCGACUUUUGGAGAUCAAAGUAGGGGAGCGCGAAAGCGCCCUAGCGGUAUAUGAGAGGUUCAUGGGAUAUCAGCUAGUUGGUGUGGUAAAGGCGCACCAAGGCUAAGACGUCUAGGCGGAUUGAGAGAUUG
rnacentral:rRNA from 1 species